CUCAGUUCGGAUCGGAGUCUGCAACCCGACUCCGUGAAGCUGGAUUCGCUAGUAAUCGCGCAUCAGCCAUGGCGCGGUGAAUACGUUCCCGGGCCUUGUACACACCGCCCGUCAAGCCAUGGGAGCCGGGAGCGCUUGAAGUGCGUCGCCGCGAGGCGCGCCCUAGAGCGAGACCGGUGACUGGGGCUAAGUCGUAACAAGGUAAC
rnacentral:rRNA from 1 species